rnacentral:misc_RNA from 1 species
AGAGGUUGGACACAGUGCUCUUCCCCGAUGAAAUCCCACCAGUCAGACCUACUAUUCUCAUUCUUCCUUUAUCUAAAUCAACUACAGAGCUGAGAACAUAUGUGUUGUGAUUUUGAGGAGCUACUGUUGGUUAACAGAUAUAAGUCGCUUCUCCCGUUCCUUAAGCAUGUCACGUUCAGCUGAUUCCCCAACUGACUUUUCUUAUAAGGCUUACCACAAUGUCA